CCCUCCGUUUGUAUGUGCCACCCCAGCCCCACGCUUCCGCCGCCCCGCUCUAAAGCCACGCUCCUCGGCGCUGCGGCCACAUAGCACCGACAACCUCUACCUUCUCCUCCGCUUCCGCCAUGGCGCGGCCAGGCAGUUGUCAUCCCAGCUGAAGUAUGGUAGCGAUGCCGUACAACCGAACCGGAGAGCAGACGCAAGGCUGGACCCGACGGACAGCACACCCCAAACCAAGUUGCCUCUCUGCCCUCCUCARCUACUUCUCCUUUUUAAAGCUGAAGUCCAUCGGUUGUCUCAGGGAGACCGGCAUGAUCUGCCUGCUCCAUGAUCAAAGAAUUAUUUCUGUAAGACACACUUCGUACCAUAUGUGUGGGCCCCGGGAAGUGUGGGCUCCGGCACCCCGGCCCUGCCGCACCCCGCAGGAAAUACGACUCUGAGAC